CCCCUAGAUGUUCUGGGCCGCACGCGCGCUACACUGAACAGUUCAACAAGUCUUAACCUUGGCCGAUAGGUCUGGGUAAUCUUUGAACGCUGUUCGUGAUUGGGAUAGACCUUUGCAAUUAUGGGUCUUCAACGAGGAAUUCCUAGUAAACGCAAGUCAUCAGCUUGCAUUGAUUACGUCCCUGCCCUUUGUACACACCGCCCGUCGCACCUACCGAUUGAAUGGUCCGGUGAAAUCUCGGGACGGCGGCUUGGUCGCUUGCGUCCGACUGCUGAAACUUGAUUAAACCUUACCAUUUAGAGGAAGGUGAANUCGUANCA
rnacentral:rRNA from 1 species